UACAGGUUGAAUGCCUCCCUCGUCUCAAACAUAAAUUGUCUCUCUUGUAAUUGAUAGAGGUUAUUUGUUGAUGUUCAUCAAUUUUUUACUGAUAUUUUUUAUUGAUCUACGUUUUAGCUCUUACUAAAACGAAAACAAAUGGAUUUUCAUUUUACCAGCUUUUGGUGUUCUGUUCAGGUGUAAAAUCAGGUGAAGUUUACUUCAUUGAGCUUUAAGGGACUCAAGUUUUUCACUUCUAUUUUCGGAGGGAUGUUCAUGAAGUAGAUCUAUAAUCAGUACUCACUUUAGUAAUCUAAGAAUCAGAGCCGAAAAACAGAUUAAAUGGUAUUAGGUCGCAGC